GAGUAGCAAUGAAAUUCCACUUCAUUGGACCAUGUUUCUGAGCCACGUGAUUUUCUUGGAAACAGUGAAGUUCUGGUUGC
rnacentral:snoRNA from 1 species